rnacentral:sRNA from 1 species
UUUUUUUGUUGUUUUCUUGAUCCAGGUACACCUUUGCUGUAUGCGAACUCGAUCAACAGGCAACCAGAACCUCUUUUCCAACAAUAACAUCGACCGCAUAGCUCGCGAACUCAGAGAAAAGAGAAACACAGUCAACCUUGUACAACACCAAUAACCACUCAAAAUUUCUGAUGAACAAAAUCAACAGAAUGACCCUGCAAAAUUAAGAGUGGUCUCGAUUAUUCAGGGGAGC